GAACUGCGAUAAGUAAUGUGAAUUGCAGAAUUCAGUGCAUCAUCGAGUCUUUGAACGCACAUUGCGCCCCCUGGCAUUCCGGGGGGCAUGCCUGUCCGAGCGUCAUUGCUGCCCUUCAAGCCCGGCUUGUGUGUUGGGUCGUCGUCCCCUCCGGGGGACGGGCCCGAAAGGCAGCGGCGGCACCGCGUCCGGUCCUCGAGCGUAUGGGGCUUUGUCACCCGCUCGAUAAGGACCGGCCGGGCGCCAGCCGGCGUCUCCAACCUUUUUUUCUCAGGUUGACCUCGGAUCAGGUAGGGAUACCCGCUGAACUUAAGC
rnacentral:misc_RNA from 1 species